AUACGAACACAAUGCGAACAUUGAGUCAUUGACGAGUCAUUGACACAUAGUCACACAAACACAUCCCUAAUAACUUUCUGUUUAAAUGUACAAGUAUUGUUUUUAACUUUCCUUAAAAUUAGAAGUGUAAUUGCGUCAAGUGAGAUUUGAACUUUAAUAAUUAUGGAUAAUUUAAUUGGUUCUUUGGAACUGUCACUCAAUGUGUCAAACGAAUUGCACAGCACUAUCAGUCCGCACCCUAGGUUUUCACAAUUCAAAAAAACUUCGAAGACAAGCCAAGAAGUUCGCAGGAGAAGAACUUUGGAAAAUCAAAAACAGAGCCGCUAUGAUUACUACAAUCAUUGUAGAUGUUUGGCAGAGAGUGAUUUCAGUGUUGGCGAUGGAAAUCUUUCAGAUAGCCCUGAUGAAAUGGAGUGGUCUCCUCCCAAGAUAAAAACUCCAAGAGCAUAUCAGGAUCAAAUAAUGCUUUCAGAAUGGCUUGAUGAAGUACCAGUCGAUUUUGAAACUAAUUGGCUUAUUAUGCCUUGUCCUGUUGGAAAAAGAUGUCUAGUUGUUGCUUCAAGAGGAUGGACAAAGGUUUACUCAAAAAGUGGAUUUCUAAUAACAGAAUUCCAAUCCCAAUUGCCUGGAGGAUUUCGACAAAGUUCAGACAGUACCAUUCUUGAUUGUCUCUGGAAUGAACACAAACAAUGCUAUUUUGUUUUGGAUGUUUUGAGCUGGAGUAGAGUACCAUUACUUGGAUGUGAAGCUGAAUUCAGGUUUUACUGGGUGAAUGGUAAAUUCAACGAACACCCUGAAUUAGGAAUGAAAUCGAAAAAAAAUCGGUACCCUUUCAUUCCUUUGCCCAUCUUACCUUGCAUCAAAGAAAAUAUCGAAGCUUUGCUUGAGGAUGAAAAACAAAGUUGGCAACCUUUGGACGGUCUCCUAUUUUAUCACAAAUUGGGAUUUUAUACUCCGGGAGUGAGCCCUUUAGUUGGAUGGCUCAAACCAUUCAUGAUUGCGGAGAUUUUGAAAGCAAAAGUACCAGAGUUCUACAUGCAGAAGAAACCCGUAAGCUAUGUGAAUAUCCAGCAACAUUUAAAGAAAAAAUCUCCAAAAUGCGAGGAAAAUUCUGUUGAGAUGUCAGCAACAGAUUAAUACUGUGUGAUAAUAUUUGAGCACUUCAUCUUGUUUUAAAUUGUUGACAAAAGUCGGUGCGGGUGAUGCUCAUAUCCUGAUUUGAUUCGACUUGCAGGAUUUCAGAUUUUUCUAAGUAUACAUUUUGCCAUUUUUUAAAGUUCCAGUGUUUCAAAAAAUUUCGGGAUGUACUUUGACCGUUGAACUGUUUAGUGUUUACCAUCCAUUUUCAAUGACAUAUUAUCCUUCGCCAUGUUUAAAUCAAUUAGCUACAUUCUAGACUGUUAUGCUAUUAGUGAAAACCACUAUUUAACGAAAAUAGAACGGCAUUCCCAUAG